GUCGAACGCUGGCGGCGCGCUUAACACAUGCAAGUCGAACGGAAAGGCCUGCUUUCCCUUGUGGAUUGCGGGUACUCGAGUGGCGAACGGGUGAGUAACACGUGAGUGAUCUGCCCCCAACUUGGGUAUAAGCCUGGGAAACUGGGUCUAAUUCCCGAUAGGACUGCAGGGUGGUGCCUGUGGUGGAAAACGAUUUUCUAGUGGUUGGGGAUGAGCUCGCGGCCUAUCAGCUUGUUGGUGGGGUAAUGGCCUACCAAGGCGGCGACGGGUAGCCGGCCUGAGAGGGUGGACGGCCACAUUGGGACUGGGAUACGGCCCAGACUCCUACGGGAGGCAGCAGUGGGGAAUAUUACACAAUGGGCGGAAGCCUGAUGCAGCGACGCCGCGUGGGGGAUGACGGCCUUCGGGUUGUAAACUCCUUUCGACCGCGAGGAAGCCACCUGGUUGGAAGGGUGGUGACGGUAGUGGUAGAAGAAGCACCGGCUAACUACGUG
rnacentral:rRNA from 1 species